rnacentral:rRNA from 1 species
GCGGAAGGAUUCAGUCGGACGGGGAAGCCGCGUAGAUGCCGUACUCAUCAGGUUCCGGGACCGGACCGCACGGCGUGAGCACAGCUGUUCCUUACGACGCAUUUGUUUUCCGCCCGAAGGACGCCGCAACCGGUUGGGAGACGGCCUGAAAGUGGGGCGACGGAAGGUGGCCGGUGGCGUGCCUCGUGCGCGUCGCCGGUGUUAAUCCUGUCCUUCGUACGGCUCGUAUCCCGACCGUGGUGUCGCGAGGCCCGCUCAUGGGCUUCACCGUCUCCUCUCGUAAAAGAUGCGCACUUAGAUGUGGCAGUGGCUCUUCACGGCAGCAGGCGCACGGACUGACUUCGUGGCCAGCAGCUUGGAGUCCACGUUGGCCGCGCGUGAUGCGUUUGGAGGCUGGCGGUUAGCGGCGAGUAGAUCGGUCACCCAUCCGACCCGUCUUGAAACACGGACCAAGGAGUCUAACAUGUGUGCGAGUCAAUGGGACUCGAAUAAGCCCAGAGGCGCAAUGAAAGCAAAGGCUGGACUCGAUUCCGGCCGAGUUGGGAUCCCCGGGCCUACGAGCUCGGGGCGCACCAACGACCCGUCCUAUCCGAUUCAUCGGUUGGCCGGAGUCUGAGCAUGCACGUUGGGACCCGAAAGAUGGUGACCUAUGCCCGGGCAGGACGAGGCCAGAGGAAACUCUGGUGAAGGUCCGCA